rnacentral:piRNA from 1 species
UGACAUCAUCAACGUGUCGCACAGGUAC